GCUAUACAUGCAGUCGAGCGGACAGAAGGGAGCUUGCUCCCGGAUGUUAGCGGCGGACGGGUGAGUAACACGUGGGUAACCUGCCUGUAAGACUGGGAUAACUCCGGGAAACCGGAGCUAAUACCGGAUAGUUCCUUGAACCGCAUGGUUCAAGGAUGAAAGACGGUUUCGGCUGUCACUUACAGAUGGACCCGCGGCGCAUUAGCUAGUUGGUGGGGUAAUGGCUCACCAAGGCGACGAUGCGUAGCCGACCUGAGAGGGUGAUCGGCCACACUGGGACUGAGACACGGCCCAGACUCCUACGGGAGGCAGCAGUAGGGAAUCUUCCGCAAUGGACGAAAGUCUGACGGAGCAACGCCGCGUGAGUGAUGAAGGUUUUCGGAUCGUAAAGCUCUGUUGUUAGGGAAGAACAAGUGCGAGAGUAACUGCUCGCACCUUGACGGUACCUAACCAGAAAGCCACGGCUAACUACGUGCCAGCAGCCGCGGUAAUACGUAGGUGGCAAGCGUUGUCCGGAAUUAUUGGGCGUAAAGGGCUCGCAGGCGGUUUCUUAAGUCUGAUGUGAAAGCCCCCGGCUCAACCGGGGAGGGUCAUUGGAAACUGGGAAACUUGAGUGCAGAAGAGGAGAGUGGAAUUCCACGUGUAGCGGUGAAAUGCGUAGAGAUGUGGAGGAACACCAGUGGCGAAGGCGACUCUCUGGUCUGUAACUGACGCUGAGGAGCGAAAGCGUGGGGAGCGAACAGGAUUAGAUACCCUGGUAGUCCACGCCGUAAACGAUGAGUGCUAAGUGUUAGGGGGUUUCCGCCCCUUAGUGCUGCAGCUAACGCAUUAAGCACUCCGCCUGGGGAGUACGGUCGCAAGACUGAAACUCAAAGGAAUUGACGGGGGCCCGCACAAGCGGUGGAGCAUGUGGUUUAAUUCGAAGCAACGCGAAGAACCUUACCAGGUCUUGACAUCCUCUGACAACCCUAGAGAUAGGGCUUUCCCUUCGGGGACAGAGUGACAGGUGGUGCAUGGUUGUCGUCAGCUCCUGUCCUGAGAUGUUGGGUUAAGUCCCC
rnacentral:rRNA from 1 species